UCCCUGCUGGCUAAGCUGGUAAAGAACCUGCCUGCAAUGCAGGCGACCCUGGCUCGAUUCCUGGGUCGGGAA
rfam:TPA: Bos taurus chromosome 22, whole genome shotgun sequence.